AUUGAACGCUGGCGGCAUGCCUUACACAUGCAAGUCGAACGGCAGCGCGGGGGCAACCCUGGCGGCGAGUGGCGAACGGGUGAGUAAAAUAUCGGAACGUGCCCUAAAGUGGGGGAUAACGUAGCGAAAGUUACGCUAAUACCGCAUAAGAUCUAAGGAUGAAAGCGGGGGAUCGCAAGACCUCGUGCUUUAGGAGUGGCCGAUAACUGAUUAGCUAGUUGGUGGGGUAAAGGCUCACCAAGGCGACGAUCAGUAGCUGGUCUGAGAGGACGACCAGCCACACUGGGACUGAGACACGGCCCAGACUCCUACGGGAGGCAGCAGUGGGGAAUUUUGGACAAUGGGGGCAACCCUGAUCCAGCAAUGCCGCGUGUGUGAAGAAGGCCUUCGGGUUGUAAAGCACUUUUGUUCGGGACGAAACGGUUUGGGCUAAUACCCUGAGCUAAUGACGGUACCGAAAGAAUAAGCACCGGCUAACUACGUGCCAGCAGCCGCCGUAA
rnacentral:rRNA from 1 species